rnacentral:rRNA from 1 species
GAGACAGCAGCAGCCGCGGGAAUACGUAGGGUGCAAGCGUUAAUCGGAAUUACUGGGCGUAAAGCGUGCGCAGGCGGUUAUAUAAGACAGAUGUGAAAUCACCGGGCUCAACCUGGGAACUGCAUUUGUGACUGUAUAGCUAGAGUACGGCAGAGGGGGAUGGAAUUCCGCGUGUAGCAGUGAAAUGCGUAGAUCUGCGGAGGAACACCGAUGGCGAAGGCAAUCCCCUGGGCCUGUACUGACGCUCAUGCACGAAAGCGUGGGGAGCAAACAGGAUUAGAUACCCCUGUAGUCCCUGUCUCUUAUAC